rnacentral:rRNA from 1 species
CCUACGGGAGGCAGCAGUGAGGAAUAUUGGUCAAUGGACGAGAGUCUGAACCAGCCAAGUAGCGUGAAGGAUGACUGCCCUAUGGGUUGUAAACUUCUUUUAUAUGGGAAUAAAAUGUUCCACGUGUGGGAUUUUGUAUGUACCAUAUGAAUAAGGAUCGGCUAACUCCGUGCCAGCAGCCGCGGUAAUACGGAGGAUCCGAGCGUUAUCCGGAUUUAUUGGGUUUAAAGGGAGCGUAGGUGGAUUGUUAAGUCAGUUGUGAAAGUUUGCGGCUCAACCGUAAAAUUGCAGUUGAAACUGGCAGUCUUGAGUACAGUAGAGGUGGGCGGAAUUCGUGGUGUAGCGGUGAAAUGCUUAGAUAUCACGAAGAACUCCGAUUGCGAAGGCAGUUCACUGGACUGCAACUGACACUGAAGCUCGAAAGUGUGGGUAUCAAACAGGAUUAGAUACCCCUGUAGUC